rnacentral:rRNA from 1 species
CCUACGGGGGGCUGCAGUGGGGAAUAUUGCGCAAUGGGCGAAAGCCUGACGCAGCGACGCCGCGUGGGUGAUGAAGGCCUUCGGGUUGUAAAGCCCUGUCGGCCGGGAAGAAAUCGCUCAAGCUAAUACCUUGGGUGGAUGACGGUACCGGAAGAAGAAGCACCGGCUAACUACGUGCCAGCAGCCGCGGUAAUACGUAGGGUGCGAGCGUUAAUCGGAAUUACUGGAGGUAAAGCGUGCAGACAGGGCGGAAAUCCCCGGGCUUAACCUGGGAACUGCGUUUGUGACUGUGGUGCUCGAGUGCGGCAGAGGGGGGUGGAAUUCCACGUGUAGCAGUGAAAUGCGUAGAGAUGUGGAGGAACACCGAUGGCGAAGGCAGCCCCCUGGGUCGACACUGACGCUCAUGCACGAAAGCGUGGGGAGCAAACAGGAUUAGAUACCCUUGUAGUC